AUGUCUGAGUACAGACCGAUUCUAAAAAGGUGAAACCGCGGACGGCUCAUUAAAUCAGUCGUAAUCCACUGGAGCUCGAACCAACCUUACUUGGAUAACCGUGGUAAUUCUAGGGCUAAUACACGCAACCGAGCCCCGACUCCGCUUCGGUGGAGGCAAGGGCGCCUUUAUUAGCACCCCAAAUCGACCUCCGUCGCGUUACUCCUUGGUCCUCGUUGUCCUUUAAAAGGCCGGCGGGGUUUAAAAUCUGUGGAGACGCACGGGUCUUGGUGAAUCCUGGAUAACCUAGCCGAGCGCUUUGGUUUCACGCUUGUCGUGGCCGGCGCCGCAUCCUUCGAGCGACUGCCUUAUCAGCUAUACCGUAAGGUAUUGGCUGACGGUGGCUGUUACGGGUAACGGGGAAUCAGGGUUCGAUUCCGGAGAGGGAGCCUGAGAAACGGCUACCACAUCUAAGGAAGGCAGCAGGCGCGCAAAUUACCCACUCCCGGCACGGGGAGGUAGUGACGAAAAAUACCGAUGCGGGACUCUUCCGAGGCCUCGUCAUCGGAUUGAGUCCAGACUAAACCCUUGGACGAGUUUCCACUGGAGGGCAAGUCUGGUGCCAGCAGCCGCGGUAAUUCCAGCUCCAGUAGCGUAUGCUAAAGUUGCUGCGGUUAAAAAGCUCAUAGUUGGACUUCACGUCCGGAUCGGCGGGCCCACCAAAGGGUCCGAGCCACGGCCUUCCGUCAGUUUGGGUACGGGCUUGACGAGGGAACAGACGGCGAGUGGUACGCCUCGACUAUUCCGGGUCCUCCUUCGGGUGCGUUCUCGGAUAGACGACUUGUGUGCGUCCCUCCCGUCCCUUCUGAUACCCGGUCACUAGCCCCUACGGUCGGCUAGCGUUCGGCCCGGGUGGUUCGCCCCGUCCGACUCCGGCUCGUCAAGAUCGCCGGUUCGCGAGGGAUGCCACGCAAAAGGCACGAGAUGUCCGUCGAGGUGUUGUUGGCGCCGAUACGUUAGGGCGGGGCCUCGGUCUCCCCUAUUCUGUUUUCGGUUUGCCGCACCCUCCGGCUCCGCGUCGAGGGUGUCCCGAGUGGCCGGCACUUUCACUUUGAAUAAAUCGGAGUGCUCAAAGCACGGCACAAAAAGAAUUUCCUUACGCCCGAACGGUGGUGCAUGGAAUGAUGGAAGAGGACCUUGGUUCCGAUUUUCCCUCCUCCUCGUGGGGAGCGGAAGCCUUAUGAUUUUGGUCGGUUUGAAACCCUCGGGUUGUUCGCAGUUCUGCUUAGGCAAGCUCGACAAACCCAAAGUUCCCUGGAACCAAGGUAAUGAUUAAAAGGAACAGACGGGGGCAUUUGUAUUGCGACGCUAGAGGUGAAAUUCUUGGACCGUCGCACGACAAACUACUGCGAAAGCAUUUGCCAAGAAUGUUUUCAUUAAUCAAGAACGAAAGUU
rnacentral:rRNA from 1 species